AGUGUAUUUGAAGGACGAGACGUACUUACGUAGCCCGAUACUGAGCCGGCCGGUCGCCACUGUUGGUGCUGCUAGUACAGAGUACGUACUGCAAGGUAGCUAGGGGUAGGUCUCCCUAGUCCCUACUGCUCCCUCGUGUACCUGCAGCUCGCCGAGAUCCUCCCUUGCCAGUUGCCACGGCCAGAACCAGAGGGUAGUGUGGUGCUGGCGGCCCAUGGCGACUGUGCAGCUAGUUUGUGUACCGGCAGGCCUUCAUUUACCAUGGCCAUAACUAUUAGUAUUACCUAGAUCUCGACGACAGAGAAUCGCAUGGAGAAGGAGAACACCACUGCCUCCCCACCACCACCACCACCACCUCCUCCUCCUCCUCCUCCUCCUCCUCCUCCUCCUCCUCCUCCUUCUUAAGAAAGAGAUCGAUCGAUCGGUACACCACUGCGGCGUUUGCUUCGUCGAUCGCUUGAGGCGGCACAGAGAGCAAAAGAGCGGCGAUGAGGCGGCCGCGCAUUGGCAGGGUGCUGCUGGACUGCUUCUCCUUGUCCCUGUGCACGAGCACCUGCGUGUGCGUCCGCGCGCUGGAGGACGACGAGGAGGAGGCCAUCCAGAGGGCGGCGCUGGUGGUGAAGGCGAGCGACCACCACCAGCAGCAGCACCGGCAGCGGCGGCUCAAGGACCUCGUCGAUGGGGCAGGGACGCUCGGCUUCCAUCUGCAACCCAAGACGGUGGAGCUGAGGGUGUCCAUGCACUGCAACGGCUGCGCCAGGAAGGUUCACAAGCACAUCUCCAAGAUGGAAGAAAGUUCCUCUAAGGAAGACCAAAUUACAUCUGGGUCCAAAGACCGGAUAAGCAUGACAGCUACAACGAAGGCGUUGACGACGACGGAUUCGCCGGUGGGGGGUCGUAGAGGCGCCGAAGACGCAUACACCCAGGUGGAAGGCCGCGCCAAGCGUCGGUUGAGGGUGGGGCGACGGAGCCGGUGUUGAAGCAUGCGCCGAGUGACCGAAGAAUAAGGUUGUUGCCGUCGCUGGGGGAAGAAGAUGGAGCUCCAAGUCGGGAUCCCGGUGGAGACGAAGUUGACGCGACAACGCCGCAAGAAGAGCUGUCCAGAUCGGCAGGUGCGAUGGCUGCAUAGUAGAGGAGAAGGCGGAGGCGGAACGCGGUGGAUGCGGGUCGGAGAAGCACAGAUCUGGGGGUUGGCGCGAAGAAGGCGAGGUGGAAGAGAAGGGGGAGGCCGAGCACAGAUCUGGAGGGUGGCGCGAGGAUGGCGAGGUGGAAGAGAGGGAGGGGUAGAUCGAGCUGUGGAGGAGCAGGUUUAUUUUAUUUAAACGUACCUUGGUAGGAGUCUCGCCGGCGACGGGAGCUGCAGCAGCAGAGACAACGACGGCGACGGCGAAGGCGACCACCAGGGGAGACCCCAUCGCAGGGCUCCUAAAGGCUGUACAGGAGGGAGGGAAGGUGGGGGCCCCUUUCCCUACCCGGUGCGGCGAGGACGUCGGGACCGAGAGGGAAGGGGCCAGAGAGCGGCUGGGCGGCGGCGGCGAGAUCUGUUCGAUGGGGGAGAGAGGAAGGAGAAAGAGAGAGGGAGAAAACGCACCGGGCGUUACUUCCGCACUAAGCGUCUCCACAGGCGGCGUGACAUGGUUCGAGGUGGAUCUAGAGAGCAAGAAGGUGGUGGUGAAGGGGGACGUGACGCCGUUGGAGGUCCUUCAAAGCGUCUCUAAGGUCAAGUUCGCGCAGCUGUGGUUGGCCGGCCCCGGCCCC